AUUCCAGGCCNUACGGGGCGCAAGCAGGCGCGAAACUUUACACUGCGGAACCCGCGAUAAGGGGAUACCGAGUGCUAGCAUCAUAUGUUGGCUGUCCACAUGUCUAAAUCGCAUGUGUUAGCAAGGGCCGGGCAAGACCGGUCCAGCCGCCGCGGUAACACCGGCGGCCCGAGUGGUGACCAUUAUUAUUGGGUCUAAAGGGUCCGUAGCCGGUUUGGUCAGUCUUCCGGGAAAUCUGACAGCUCAACUGUUAGGCUUCCGGGGGAUACUGCCAGACUUGGGACCGGAAGAGGUAAGAGGUACCACGGGGGUAGGAGUGAAAUCUUGUAAUCCCUGUGGGACCACCAGUGGCGAAGGCGUCCUACUAGAACGGGUCCGACGGUGAGGGACGAAAGCUGGGGGCACGAACCGGAUUAGAUACCCGGGUAGUCCCAGCCGUAAACUAUGCUCGCUAGGUGUCAGGGACGGUGCGACCGUUUCUGGUGCCGCAGGGAAGCCGUGAAGCGAGCCACCUGGGAAGUACGGUCGCAAGGCUGAAACUUAAAGGAAUUGGCGGGGGAGCACUACAACGGGUGGAGCCUGCGGUUUAAUUGGACUCAACGCCGGAAAACUCACCGGGGGCGACAGCAAUAUGUAGGUCAAGCUAAAGACUUUACCAGAAUCGCUGAGAGGAGGUGCAUGGCCGUCGUCAGUUCGUANUGUAAGCAUNANGUAUCC
rnacentral:rRNA from 1 species